UCGCCGGCGGUACGUUUUUUCGGCGAAGGGCGAUGCAUUAAUUUCCCAACACUCGGAGGGGGUAACAUUGGGAGUCCAAUUCCUGAUCGUGCCAAGAAAGCAAAAUAUCGAAUCGUACAAUCUUACAGUGUUUUCUAUCAUUUAUUAUGUUUUCUUUAAUGGAUCGAAAAUGAAAUGGGAAAGCAUUACGUUUUGCUGCAUAUAAUUUGAUGGGAAAAGAAAUAUCCAAUCAUGAUGUUUGUUGGAGAGCCCAAAGGACAAGCAUCAGUAAUGGCGUACGUACCUCAACCACUACUACUAGUCCUCCUAAACAAACAAGACGAAGCAGCACUUCCGCCUGCGCACCAAUGCAAGCCAAGGAAGAAGACCGCAGGCAAGCGUGCACACACACCACGCGACGAAGGAAGUGACGCUCCUCCCCGACCGACGACCCCAUCGCUUCCCUUCCGAACCACCAAAAACACCACAC
rnacentral:lncRNA from 1 species